rnacentral:tRNA from 1 species
UCCCUGAUGUUCUAGUGGUCAGGAUUCGGCGCUCUCACCGCUGAGACCUGAGUUUGAUUCCCGGGCAGGGAA